AUACGGAGGGUGCAAGCGUUACUCGGAAUCACUGGGCGUAAAGCGCGCGCAGGCGGUCUUUUAAGUUGGAUGUGAAAGCCUACGGCUCAACCGUAGAACUGCAUCCAAAACUAUUAGACUAGAGUGUGGGAGAGGAAGAUGGAAUUAGUUGUGUAGGGGUAAAAUCCGUAGAGAUAACUAGGAAUACCAAAAGCGAAGGCAAUCUUCUGGAACACUACUGACGCUGAGGCGCGAAAGCGUAGGGAGCAAACAGGAUUAGAAACCCUAGUAGUCC
rnacentral:rRNA from 1 species